AUUGAACGCUGGCGGCAUGCCUUACACAUGCAAGUCGAACGGUAACGGGCCUUCGGGUGCCGACGAGUGGCGAACAGGUGAGUAAUGUAUCGGAACGUACCUUUCAGUGGGGGAUAACGUAGCGAGAGUUACGCUAAUACCGCAUAUUCUGUGCGCAAGAAAGCAGGGGAUCGCAAGACCUUGCGCUGAUUGAGCGGCCGAUAUCGGAUUAGCUAGUUGGUGAGGUAAAGGCUCACCAAGGCGACGAUCUGUAGCGGGUCUGAGAGGAUGAUCCGCCACACUGGAACUGAGACACGGUCCAGACUCCUACGGGAGGCAGCAGUGGGGAAUUUUGGACAAUGGGGGCAACCCUGAUCCAGCCAUGCCGCGUGAGUGAAGAAGGCCUUCGGGUUGUAAAGCUCUUUCGGCCGGGAAGAAAUCGCAUCAGCUAAUACCUGGUGCGGAUGACGGUACCGGCAUAAGAAGCACCGGCUAACUACGUGCCAGCCGCCGCAGUAAAAC
rnacentral:rRNA from 1 species